AUUGAACGCUGGCGGCAGGCUUAACACAUGCAAGUCGAGCGAGCGGCGGACGGGUGAGUAAUGUCUGGGAAACUGCCUGAUGGAGGGGGAUAACUACUGGAAACGGUAGCUAAUACCGCAUACCAUCAGAUGUGCCCAGAUGGGAUUGGCUAGUAGGUGGGGUAAUGGCUCACCUAGGCGACGCUCCCGAGCUGGUCUGAGAGGAUGACCAGCCACAGUGGAACUGUAACCAGGUCCAGACUCCUACGGGAGGCAUCAGUGGGGAAUAUUGCACAAUGGGCGCAAGCCUGAUGCAGCAAUGCCGCGUGUGUGAAGAAGUCCUUCGUGUUUUAAAGCACUUUCAGCGAGGAGGCGUUACUCGCAGAAGAAGCACCGGCUAACUCCGUGCCAGCAGCCGCGGUAAUUC
rnacentral:rRNA from 1 species